rnacentral:rRNA from 1 species
UACAGAGGUCCCAAGCGUUGUUCGGAUUCACUGGGCGUAAAGGGUGCGUAGGCGGCGCGGUAAGUCUGAUGUGAAAUCUCCGGGCUCAACCCGGAAAUGGCAUUGGAUACUAUUCGGCUAGAGGUUUGGAGGGGGGACUGGAAUUCUCGGUGUAGCAGUGAAAUGCGUAGAUAUCGAGAGGAACACCAGUGGCGAAGGCGAGUCCCUGGACAACACCUGACACUGAGGCACGAAAGCUAGGGGAGCAAACAGG